rnacentral:rRNA from 1 species
AGAAAGGGCGCACGGUGGAUGCCUUGGCACUAGGAGCCGAAGAAGGACGGGACUAACACCGAUAUGCUUUGGGGAGCUGUACGUAAGCGUUGAUCCAGAGAUUUCCGAAUGGGGGAACCCACUAUCUUUAGUCGGAUAGUAUCCUUACGUGAAUACAUAGCGUAAGGAAGGCAGACCCAGGGAACUGAAACAUCUAAGUACCUGGAGGAAGAGAAAGAAAAAUCGAUUUCCUGAGUAGCGGCGAGCGAAACGGAAAGAGCCCAAACCAAGAAGCUUGCUUCUUGGGGUUGUAGGACACUCUAUACGGAGUUACAAAAGAAAGUUAUAAAUGAAGCGGUCUGGAAAGGCCCGCCAAAGACGGUAACAGCCCGGUAGUUGAAAUGGCUUUCCCUCCAGAGUGGAUCCUGAGUACGGCGGAACACGUGAAAUUCCGUCGGAAUCCGGGAGGACCAUCUCCCAAGGCUAAAUACUCCCUAGUGACCGAUAGUGAACCAGUACCGUGAGGGAAAGGUGAAAAGCACCCCGGAAGGGGAGUGAAACAGUUCCUGAAACCGUGUGCCUACAAGUAGUUAGAGCCCGUUAAUGGGUGAUAGCGUGCCUUUUGUAGAAUGAACCGGCGAGUUACGAUUUGUUGCAAGGUUAAGCGGAAAAAGCGGAGCCGUAGCGAAAGCGAGUCUGAAUAGGGCGCAUAAGUAACAGGUCGUAGACCCGAAACCAGGUGAUCUACCCAUGUCCAGGAUGAAGGUAAGGUAAUACUUACUGGAGGUCCGAACCCACGCACGUUGAAAAGUGCGGGGAUGAGGUGUGGGUAGCGGAGAAAUUCCAAUCGAACUUGGAGAUAGCUGGUUCUCUCCGAAAUAGCUUUAGGGCUAGCCUCGAGGUAAAGAGUCAUGGAGGUAGAGCACUGUUUGGACUAGGGGCCCUUCUCGGGUUACCGAAUUCAGAUAAACUCCGAAUGCCAUGUACUUAUACUCGGGAGUCAGACUGCGAGUGAUAAGAUCCGUAGUCGAAAGGGAAACAGCCCAGACCACCAGUUAAGGUCCCCAAAUAUAUGUUAAGUGGAAAAGGAUGUGGGGUUGCUUAGACAACCAGGAUGUUGGCUUAGAAGCAGCCACCAUUGAAAGAGUGCGUAAUAGCUCACUGGUCGAGUGACCCCGCGCCGAAAAUGUACCGGGGCUAAACAUAUUACC